UAACCGUUGCACUUCCACAUGCUGUGAUGGCCCUUCUUCUCAAGGGCAAAACUCAGCACAUUUCCAAUUCCCGUCUUACUAAAUAUGAGAAACUUCUACUGUCAGCUGCAAAUGAACGGAGGCAAGGAGGAAGUCCCGCAGC